rnacentral:misc_RNA from 1 species
GAUGAAGAACGUAGCGAAAUGCGAUAAGUAGUGUGAAUUGCAGAAUUCAGUGAAUCAUCGAAUCUUUGAACGCACAUUGCGCCCCUUGGUAUUCCAUGGGGCAUGCCUGUUCGAGCGUCAUUUGUACCUUCAAGCUUUGCUUGGUGUUGGGUGUUUGUCUCGCCUUUGCGUGUAGACUCGCCUUAAAAUAAUUGGCAGCCGGCGUAUUGAUUUCGGAGCGCAGUACAUCUCGCGCUUUGCACUCAUAACGACAGCGUCCAAAAGUACAGUUUACACUCUUGACCUCGGAUCAGGUAGGGAUACCCGCUGAACUUAAGCAUAUCAAUAAGCGGAGGA